UACAGAGGGGGCAAGCGUUGUUCGGAAUUACUGGGCGUAAAGGGCGCGUAGGCGGCCUGCUAAGUCGAUCGUGAAAUCCCCGGGCUUAACCCGGGAACUGCGACCGAUACUGGUUGGCUUGAAUUCGGGAGAGGGAUGCGGAAUUCCAGGUGUAGCGGUGAAAUGCGUAGAUAUCUGGAGGAACACCAAUGGCGAAGGCAGCACUCUGGGACGUGACUGACGCUGAGACGCGAAAGCGUGGGGAGCAAACAGG
rnacentral:rRNA from 1 species